UCCGUUGCGGCUCCCCUUGAGUCAGCAUCGGGGGGCGGCGCUGCAAUCGCUCCACUGCCACCGCUGCCGCCGCCGCCGCCGCUGCUGCUGAUGGUUUCUGCUGAAGCAAGGGAUGGCUGCGCAACCCCUCGAGGGUGCCGAUGCUAGUUCUCGAUUCCUGCAGGCCUUUUGAUUGUGUGCGCGCGCGACCUCCACGUUUGCGCGAAACGCGCGUGUGUGCAUCGCCAUUGGCGUAGCCUCGCUUCGUUGGUCUUUAAGAGUAUCUUUUAGCUUGUUACUUCGUGGAAUUUUAUAAUAAUUGGGAGAUGGUUGCUGGAAAAGAUUGUCUGUUGGAGUAAUUUCGGAAGAAUGAAACGUGGAAAAUAUUUCAUGCAGAGGUUGGGUCGAUAAGGAAGAAUGUGUGGAGUUCGAGGGAAUUUCGGAAACCCUGUUGAUCGACGCUAUUGCGUCCCGACGAGGGUGUACGCCAACAGAUCGACUCUCUCUUUCCCGCGCACGCACACAUUGUGCAAACUCGGAUUUAUGGCAGUCUGCCGCCAUCGUAUGCUUAUAGUAGCCUGCAACUUUGGUUAGCCCAAAUCGUAGCUAGUCUAAACAGAAGUAUGAACCACGCUGUUAGUAUUCUAUGCUUUCUCUAACUUUCUCAUAAACGAUACUUAUAUACCUUCCUAGUUGAACGUUCCAAAAACCUCGAGGCCGUCCCCAAGCAACUUAUAACUAAAACAUAUCAAAUUAAUUCACGUUCGAUCGAGGCUUAAUUUCCCCCAGCCCGUAAAUCCACCGAAACGGAAGCUCGUUCGAAACCGGCCGUGUGUCACGGUGGAGGUUAGUGAACCCGAGCAAAAAAGAGAAAGAAAAAAAGAAACCGUGCACCGAAACCGUCCGCGAGGGAUGCGUGUGCAAGUGGUCGGUGUCGAGGCCGCCGCGCCGUGUCGAAUGUAGACAUAGAGGAAAGAUAGAGAGAGAGAGAGACAGAGAUAGAGACAGAGACAGAGAAAGAGCGGAAGAGAGAACAGCUGGCCGGGCUGCCACGGGCACCGGCCUCGUUCCUCGCGUCACGACGAGUGUGUAAACUCCCAAGGGGGAGGCCGAUGGUAAUUCCUAUGGAAGAUUGGCUGCAUAGUGGUGACGCUAUGUCGCCCGAUACGCGACGCGAACUUGUUGGUAGCGGGUUGAUGGUGUUAGUGCAGCGUGUAGAAGGAACGGUGCGAGGGGUGAAGGGUAGCUGGCACACGUUGGGGUGAGAUCUCGAAUAGGAGAGGGUAGCCUCUAUCUCCCCUAUUCCGCAAAAAGGGGGAGAAAGUCGAGGGUGGAGGAGCCAGAAAUGAGAAUGUCGGCUAAAGUGGUGGGAGAACGAAGGUCCGCGCGAGGGUUAGCGGAGCUGAUAGUGGGGACAGCGAAGCGGAAUGGGGAUGGCCACGCAUGCGCUACCGAUCAGCAUCGACCCGACGUCUAGGCAACACCUGGUAGCACCCCACGUGCCACGUUAGGGUGGCACCAGCCACCCCGCGCACGCGAUACCUCGUAUCGAAUAUCACGCUGGCCUUCCUGUCCCGUCUACUGACCCACGCCAACCAUGUCUUUCGUCGCUCUUACGGCUCGAGUUUUCGUAAAUGGGAUACAGACCAAUCGAAACCGAACGGUAUGCGUACGGAAGGGAAAACUGGAGGAUGAAGCGAGGAGGAAUUUAAGGAAGAAAAUAAGCACGGUUCGACGCAUGACGGAGGUGCUUUGAUCUCAGUGCUGGCCGAAGCAAGCAAAUUGUGUGUCCUCAAAGGGACCGUGAUUGAAGUCACACGAACCGUACAACGGUGCUUCGUCCGUUCCCUCCGUUUUAUUUUUUUAUUUAAGGAGUUACUUUCGGCAGCUUCCUGUGUAAAUAAUUACCCACCAACUACAGUCCGUAUCUCAAAUACUCCUUCGAUGUUAAACACGUGUAAUACUCUCCAUUAAAUUUCACUGAAAUUCAUAGAAAUCUAUUAGAAUACUAUAUCGGGUUGGCAACUAAGUGAUUACGGAUUUUAUCAUUACCACCUAAUCACAAAAUCCGCAAUCACUUAGUUGCCAACCCAAUAUAUUGGCCAAAAGUUUUCUACGUUAUCUACGAGAUAACUGUACUGUAUACAAUGUAUUAACGAAACGUUCUAUAUGUAAAUUAUGUAGUUUUCAAAACAAAAAAAGUUUGACACAAGGUAUUUUUACGUGUCGAAAUCCAUGUUACAUGCAGAGAUACUGCAUCCCAUUUUCUCAACGAACAAAGGUCCAAAAACAGAAAAAGAGAAGAACGAUUAUUUUCCAACAUUUAUACAGACUGGGUUCCUCUUUUUCAGCUCGUACUCUUUACACCGAUUUUAGAUGCACGCGUGCGACAAAGCGAAGCGGAAACAACUAAGAAACGAAGCCCGUUUUUCAACGAGGAAUACUAACAGAGGUGAUGCAGCAGACAGAAAUACCAGCGAAGAGACGAGGAGAGAAAAUAGGAACGUAUCCAAUUCUUGGGAUAUCCUCGGCUCGUCGUCACCCUUUCCACUCGCAGUUUCCUCCAUGAAACGAAAAUCCAGCGGAGUUAAAUCGGGGGCAGCACUGGGCGCUGUACGGCCAAGGAUAUAUCCAGAGAUCUAAUCGAGGAAGAAGGGUGCUCGUGCUGCACCCUGCUGCAGUUCCAGGGUGAAUCAUGCCGCGAUACAAUCGAGCUCGUGGCAUAAAACGCGCCUUUGCGGUUCUGCGGUUCGUCGAUGGCCGCUGGUGUGCGAGCGACCUCGUCCAUGCGAAUCCAUUUGUAUCCUCUUCAUAUCAAGAUGCAAUCUGAUGAUUGGUCAAACGACCGUGCAAUUUACUCGAGUGUUCUCCGCGACUAUUCUUUAUCUCUUCUUUAUCGCCGUGCCACCGUGAUUACACCGAGCAAACGAUAAGUAGCCGCCUCGAAUUUCCGCGAGGAUGAUACACUUGAUGAUCUUGGCGAGUUUCUCGACGCCACUGGAGGAACGCCGUGGCCAGGAAUCGAGCUGUCGCUGGGGAACUUUCGUUUCGAAAGCUGUCGAAACUUUAGUUUGACAAGAGUGUUAUUGGGACGAACAGGCUUUUUAUUGUCUUUACGGAAUUUGUUUAUCUUCUAAUUUAGACGCUUUGAAUUUUCUGGGGAGGGAGAUAGGCAGAAGAUUUUGGUGAAUUCAUCGACGCGAAUGGAACGUUGUAUGCUCGUACGAUCGUAACAAAAAGUUCUUUUUAAUUUCCUGUGGAAACUCGGCGAAGGACAAAUUUUCCGAUAAAUAAUUUUGUAUUAAUUUUGUAUUAAAAUAACUCUUUGUAACAAACUUAAUACCUAUCGUUUUAUUUUUAGAGAAUUGUAACGCUGAAUAGCCAGUGGAUCAACACACCUGUGCCAGGUAUUAUACGACAUCGACGUUUAAAAAUGAAACAGAUUAGAAGGUAAAGCGAUCGAAUUUUAUUUGAACUUGAGACAAAACUUUGUCUUUAUCGAAUCCCUUUAAACCUCUCAGUAAUCAAUCUCACGUCCUACAUAAGAGCUAGCACACAAAUUCUACCGAAGAAACAAAGAAAAACUGCGGUAGAUUCGCCUCUGAACGUCUUUCAUGGUUACUUUAUAUCGACUAUGCUAAUCUUAGAGGACGGUCGUCGUCUGCCACGUUCCAGGACCCUUGCUGCCGCUUUCACGCUGCCUCAACCCCUUCACGAUAACGUAAAUACUUCGUGGCGUACAACGAAAGGGUUGUCCGUACAGGUUAACCCGUAACCGUGACGUCGUAUUUAUAAAGAAAGGGUAGAGACUUUCUACGAGCAGAAAUAUAUACAGUGACUCGCGAAAGUAUUCGAACAUUCUCAGAAUAUUUUUAGAUAUAUAUAAUAUUUGAAAUCUUAUUAGCACCGUAACUGAGACACAGCAACUAUCGUGAUUAUGAUAGUAAAAUUUGGAAUCAAUCUGAGAGUAUAUGUAGGAGUUACAAGACAUUUAUCGUAAACCGAUAUUUAGUAAAAAAUUUAGCGUAUCUCAUGAAUAAAUUUAAACAUAAGAUUAGUGCUAUAGAUGGUCUCGCUAUGUAUCGUAGUUUCCAAAAAGUUUCGUAAGAAAACACAUAAUAUGUUCGUAAAACAAUAUUCUAUGGUAAGUUUCUGAAUUUUCGCGAACUUUCGUCAACCGCAAUAAGUUCGUGUAACGAGACGAAAGAACGGAGACACUGAAGAGAUAUCGGGCUAACGAAAUUUAUACGUGACACUUGUGAGAUUCGUGGUACCGAACUCUGUCGUUUCGACAGCUUGUUCCAGUCGAAAAGAGGGUUGUUUGUUGGCUCGCCGAGAUAACGGUAUCGUCCGUAAAAUGUGCCUAGUUUUACGUUCGCUCCUAUUGGCGCAUGAAUUCCAAACAAUAUAGUACGUGUGUUUUUAAUAAAUAUCAAUCUUCGUUAGUUACAUGGAUAGUGUCUCAAUAAAAUUUACACGCGUUUUAUUAUCAUAUAUUUUUGGAAAGCAGAAUGGAUGAAUGUUGAGCUUCUGUUUUUGAAAGUGGUCCUCUUAGAGUUGGAAAUGUUUAACGUGCUUUCUGAUUCCACAAUUUUUGUAUAUGAUCGAUCGAUAGCUUUAGCACAUUUUUAACGAUAGAACUUUUUAAAACUAGGAACUUCUGUUUUGAAAAGAGAAAUGCUUUAUUUGUAAAUUUAUUUAGCUCGUAACUUUUCCCCCUUUUCCGUAUUUUAUCGGUAGCAAAUGGGAUUGAGAUAAUAUUGUGCGUAUUAGAUUCCACUCGUAUAAUACCGAGCGAUAAGAAGAAAGCAGUUAAUAAAAUAUUUAUACGAUAUACAUUGAUAAAAGAGCAAUUGAUAAAGUGCACGGAGAAACUCAGCCCUAUAUUUUUCAUAUCCUAAUGUGAGAUAAAAAACACACGAUAUUGGAGAAGUUUAGAAAAUUGCAGCGGUACUCGUGAAUAAAGAAAAACGUAGCAGCUACGUGAUCAGAAAAGAAUGCCAUAAAACGUUCGAUAUAUCACUAUAUCGUAUCCUGUGAUUACUUGAAGGAGAAUACGGUAUUAUUUCGUGGUUUCAACAGGAUUUCCAUUUUAUACGGUAAAAAGAAUACGACGGCUCACGUUAUUCUUCAUUUUGUCGCGCGAUUUGUCUACGUAGAGGUAUAAGAACGUACGGCAUCGUAAAACGAGCCGGAGAACAGCGAGGGUGAUAGAACAGCGUUCCCAGUGUCUCUGUGACGAUACACACACUCACAGUUGCCGGGUAAAUUAUCCCCUAUACACGACGCCACUCGAGCGCCAUGGUAACGUAAGCUCUCCAAGAACUGAAACGGAAUUUCCCUCUCCAUAUACGUAUGUAUAUAUAUAUAUACAUAUAUAUUUCUGUAUAUAUACAGAAACAAAUUAUAAUUGACGCAAAUUUAGUUGUGGUAAUGGUGAAACGUGCCUAAACAAGAACUUCUAGAAAGUAAUCACGAUCGAUAAUUGAACGAGGAAACUUACGUUAUAAUAGAAGAGUAGGAAUAUUUUAAUAAUAUAUUGGUAAUAACGUACGAAGUAUUACCAUCUAAUGAAAAAAUCCGCAAUUACAUAGUUGCCAACCCAAUAUAAGCGUAUAGGUCAUUAUAUAGGGUAGGUGAUAAUUGGAAAUAUUAUUAAUAUAAAAAUGUUAACAAACAAGGUUGACGCGUUUUGUGGAGGGGAUAUUGAUCAACUCCAUAAAUUGAAAGGUACGGAAGGGCGGUGAUGUUACAAAUAUUGAUUUUUAAACCUACAUUGGAAUUCAUCGUUGUUCAAAUAAUUUUAGAUGAUUUAAUUAAUCGUUUAAUUUGAAAUAAAGUUGUGGAAGUAAAUCGCUUGUCCCUCGAUGAAUGGACGAUAAUCGUGUACUUAUGCAAUGAAAUUAAAGAAUUGAUAAAAAGUGGAAUUGCUCCGCUUGGCUUUUGAGAGGCUCGUUUCUCUACAAUCUCGGUAUUUAUGAAAAUAUGCAUUCGUCGGACAUCAUCGUCCCUUUUUCUAUAUAUUUAUAUCUUCUGAAAUGCAAAACAUUUUUGUAAAAAAGAGAUGUUACAUGAGAAUAAAAGUAAAAAUUCUGCGCACGAAGUUCUUGAUUGCUGGUAUCAAAUUGAAUGAGCAAAAAUAUUAGAUAACAAAGAGCAAAGCAAAGUGACCUAACGAACUAAUCAGGGGCUGGCUUACGUCCUUCGUUAGCGGCGACACAUGUAUCCGCAUAGGCUUUUCUACAAUGUAUUUAAUGUAUGCGAAGUCAUUCCUGAUUCAGCGAAGUUCCGCGGCACGGGAUGAAUCAUCCCCUCGUGCACCGGAGCUCGAGCACCGCGAUAACGUAGGCACUUUACAGCCUCGAACGAGAACGACGAACCUUUCUGUCUUUCUCUCUUCGUGUUCUCUCCUCUUUGUCACUCUUGCGAAUUCCCGUCUCUGUUCCCCUUUCUCUAUUAAUUCGACGUGUUGCUGCGGUAACUACGGUGUCAGCAACAUUACCCGUUCCUGUAUCGAUGAGAUAGAAAUGUCAGCCGAACGGCUAACGAGGAUGCCACGUGCGGGGAUGCGACAGUCUCACUCGGGAAACAUUCGAAUAGAUAUCGUGCAAUUUUGGUGUAUCGAAACGAGGAGAGUCUUGAAAUUUUGAUACACUGGUUUAAUGAGUUAUUGCAGAAUUGGAUAUUUUAUUUUUAUGUAUGUAAAUGGUUGUUGGAAGUUACAUGGAAUUAUUGAAAAAUCAGCUUUUACCUGUUACUUCGUUCGCGCUAAUACUACUAAUAUACGGAAAAUUUUCAGCAGAUGAAUUUUUUGUGAACGAAAUGUAACAGGUAAAAAAUAUUCAAUUAUAGAACUGCUCGAUUUCAGAAGAAACACGACGUAAAUAAUAACCAUCGUUGCUUAACUUCUAGCAAACUUGGAAGCGCAUGCAACUCAAAUGCCAAGCUAUUUCUCAGCUUUUAGAAUACAAAUCGAGAUGAGAGAUGCCCUAUCUUCUUUCCCAGACACUAGGCUAUACGACAUAGAAAACGCAACCAAAACUCUCUCGGCAGUUUUUACAUAAUAUGCGUGGGAUGCUCAAAUUGUGAAUUGCGACUUGUAAGGGCAAGAGGGUCAAAUGUGAAAGGGAGAGAAGAAAAGUGAGGAAUGGAUAUGAAGGAAGGAACGAUAGAAAAUAAGGAAAGGAAUCUACACAAAGAAGAGGCGCAGUGAAACGAAAAGAAAGGAAAAGAAAAGGA